AGCGAACGCUGGCGGCAGGCCUAACACAUGCAAGUCGAACGGACCCUUCGGGGUUAGUGGCGGACGGGUGAGUAACACGUGGGAACGUGCCUUUAGGUCCGGAAUAGCUCCUGGAAACGGGUGGUAAUGCCGAAUGUGCCCUUCGGGGGAAAGAUUUAUCGCCUUUAGAGCGGCCCGCGUCUGAUUAGCUAGUUGGUGAGGUAAUGGCUCACCAAGGCGACGAUCAGUAGCUGGUCUGAGAGGAUGGCCAGCCACACUGGGACUGAGACACGGCCCAGACUCCUACGGGAGGCAGCAGUGGGGAAUCUUGCGCAAUGGGCGAAAGCCUGACGCAGCCAUGCCGCGUGAAUGAUGAAGGUCUUAGGAUUGUAAAAUUCUUUCACCGGGGACGAUAAUGACGGUACCCGGAGAAGAAGCCCCGGCUAACUUCGUGCCAGCAGCCGCUGUAAGAC
rnacentral:rRNA from 1 species